rnacentral:rRNA from 1 species
GUCCACGCCCUAAACGAUGAUCACUAGUUGUUCGGAAAGGUGACUUUCUGAGUAACGUAGCUAACGCGUGAAGUGAUCCGCCUGGGGAGUACGGUCGCAAGAUUAAAACUCAAAGGAAUUGACGGGGACCCCGCACAAGCGGUGGAUGAUGUGGAUUAAUUCGAUGCAACGCGAAAACCUUACCUACCCUUGACAUGCCUGGAAGAUCGCAGAGAUGUGAUUGUGCCUUCGGGAACCAGGACACAGGUGCUGCAUGGCUGUCGU